rnacentral:rRNA from 1 species
AAUGAACGCUGGCGGCGUGCUUAACACAUGCAAGUCGUGCGCGAAAGUGACUUCGGUCACUGGAGAGCGGCGAACGGGUGAGUAACACGUGGACAACCUGCCUGGAAGUGGGGGAGUAACCUGGGGAACGUUAGGGCGUAAUACCGCAUACGUUCGUGGAGUCUCGGCUCUGCGAACAAAGAUGGCCUCUGCUUGCAAGCUAUCGCUACCAGAGGGGUCC